UACGGAGGGGGCUAGCGUUGUUCGGAAUUACUGGGCGUAAAGCGCGCGUAGGCGGCUUUGUAAGUUAGAGGUGAAAGCCCAGGGCUCAACCCUGGAAUUGCCUUUAAGACUGCAUCGCUUGAACAUCGGAGAGGUAAGUGGAAUUCCGAGUGUAGAGGUGAAAUUCGUAGAUAUUCGGAAGAACACCAGUGGCGAAAGCGACUUACUGGACGAUUGUUGACGCUGAGGUGCGAAAGCGUGGGGAGCAAACAGG
rnacentral:rRNA from 1 species